CCCGGCCCGGCCCGCCCCGGCGGGCGGCGCUGCGGCCGCCCCCGCUCCCAGCAGCCUUUGCAGCCGCCUACAAUGAAAUUUGCGAAGUUUUUUCGGUUUCGGCGCCAUUUUCGAGUGGACUCGGAGCACUGUUGAGAAAAAAACUGUGGAUCCUGGAAUUUUACUGUGGAUUUUACUGGUUUUCUGGAGUGCUCUCCCACUGAAGCAGCAAUCUGGUUGUCCAGAGAGUCCGGGCAGGAGCUGAUGUGCCUGUGCUCAGAGGUAAUACCUAGGAGAUGUUCAGGUGAACUCAAAUUACCCUGUUCAGCUGCCAAUUUCUGAUGUAAAGUUGAGUUUCCAAAGCACAAACUAAGUUUGAAAGGAGCUGAAGUGGGAGAUGGAAUAAUUCAAACAUGGAACUUUUUAUUGCAUGAAAUAUUGAUGCUGGCAUGUCAUAAACAUGCAUAUUUUCUCAGAUACAUAUUUCACUGCCUAUCCCAAAUUUCCAGUUGCCCAAUACUUGGUAUGACUGUUGAUUUUCCCUCUGUGCUAGAGGCUGGUGGAGGUGUAUUGAACCCUUGCUUUGAAAAGUUCUCCUUACUAAAGAGAGCUAGGCAAAAAUCUGAUUUAUAUAAAUAUAAAAACAUUAAUUAAAACGUGAACCUCAAGCACUAUCAAAAUGGAUUCUAAAGCUGAACGUGUUUGCUGUUGCUUUUUUCUCUGGAUUCAUUUGAAGAGAUGAAAGAAAUAAGAUUGCACAGGUAGAGUCAAGUAAAACAUUGUUGCAGAAGUAAUUAAUGGUAAUAGUAUGGGGGGGGGCUGUUUUGAUUUAGCUCGUACAGGCUUAACACUGGGUGCGUGUUUGCUUUGCAGCAAGUAGAAGCUGCUCAUUAGGGGGUUGGCCCUGGUGCUGUCAGUGUUGAGGACACUGAAGUGGUGAGAAUAUACUGCUUUUUUAGUUGGCAAAUAUUUGAUUUCAAAUUUGAAAUCGCUUGGCAAGGGUCACAAGAGCUUUUGAAAUUCCUAUUUUUAAGUUUGCUAAAGAGGCAGGGACUCGGUGGCGCAUUGGGCACGAGGGGAUGGCACAAGAAUUCGAACCCAAGGCGUCAUUUCUAACAUUGUUCAGUUUUUUGUAUGAUGCUGCUUUUUAAGAAAAUGAAUUGGAGGAAGUUGUCCCAUAACUGGUGGGAGGGGGGAAGGUUGAAAGGAAAUACAAAAAAUAUCAGUCUGUCUGCAUGGCUCCUGUGCAGCCCAGGCUGGCUGCUGUGUAAGUGCCACUGGCAGCUGCCUUCUGCAGGGCUGCAGCCCCUCCCUGCCCUGCUCUGGUGCUUUCUGCUCUGGUACAGGCAGGGAAUGUGAUUAACUUCCAGAGGUCUUUAAUUUCUGGUCAUAGAAGGCUUGUCCAUUCACAUAAUAAAUAAGCAUAAUUGAAUCUUUUUUAAAAUGAGGAUUUUUUUACAUAUCUCAGAAGUCAAAUUUAGCUGAAUUAAAGUAUUUUAAGGAAAAUUUAACGUGUUUCAAGUGUUGGAAUAUGGAUUUAUUUAUCUGAAAUGUUAACAUUGUGACUUCUGGAAAAUGCUUGAUGUUCAGCAUCACCUAAGAGGAAAGUACAAGGUAACAUUUUCCCAUGUAACAGUGGGAAGGGCUGGGAAGUUCUGCAGACUCUUCACAGUAGCAAAAGCAGCAGAUCUUCUGGAUCUGAAAAUGUAUUAUUUGCUGGGACCUGAUACUAACUGUGGUUUGGGGGAACAGUUAAUUUCUGACCUUGUUUCUGAAAUUGGUUUGUUUGCACUGUAUAACUGCUUGUUCUCUUAUAGUUACAGACUGUCUGAUAGCACCUGUGAAGAAAAAAAAAGCCUGUCUUGUGGUGGUAAUGCAUGCAUGUUAAAUGUC